rnacentral:rRNA from 1 species
UACGUAGGGUGCAAGCGUUAAUCGGAAUUAUUGGGUUUAAAGGGUGCGUAGGCGGCCCUGUAAGUCAGUGCUGAAAUAUCCCAGCUUAACUGGGAGGGUGGCAUUGAUACUGCGGGGCUAGAGUACAGAUGAGGUAGGCGGAAUUGACGGUGUAGCGGUGAAAUGCUUAGAUAUCGUCAAGAACACCUAUAGCGAAGGCAGCUUACUAGGCUGUAACUGACGCUGAGGCACGAAAGUGUGGGGAUCAAACAGG